CUACGGGGUGCUGCAGUCGCGAAUCUUCCUCAAUGGCCGAAAGGCUGAAGGAGCGACGCCGCGUGUAUGAAGAAGCCCUUCGGGGUGUAAAGUACUUUUCUUUGGGAAGAAACAAUGACGGUACCAAAGGAAUAAGGGGCUACUAAACUCGUGCCAGCAGCAGCGGUAAUACGAGUGCCCCGAGCGUUAUCCGGAUUCAUUGGGCGUAAAGCGUACGUAGGCGGUUUAUCACAUCUCCUGUUAAAUCCCGAGGCUCAACCUCGGAACCGCGGGAGAGAUGGCUAAACUAGAGACCGGAAGAGGCAAGCGGAAUUGCUGGUGUAGGGGUUAAAUCCGUUAAUAUCAGCAGGAACACCAAAUGCGAAGGCAGCUUGCUAGAACGGUUCUGACGCUAAGGUACGAAAGCGUGGGGAGCGAAUGGGAUUAGAUACCCGUGUAGUC
rnacentral:rRNA from 1 species